rnacentral:tRNA from 1 species
GGAGAGAUGGCCGAGUGGCUUAAGGCGCACGCUUGGAAAGCGUGUGUGCGGGAAACUGUACCGUAGGUUCGAAUCCCACUCUCUCCGCCA